rnacentral:rRNA from 1 species
CUCUUCGGGGAUGAUUAAACCGGCGCACGGGUGAGUAACACGUGAGUGACCUGCCUUUUAGACUGGAACAACUUACCGAAAGGUGAGCUAAUGCCGGAUGAGUUAUAUAAGUGCAUGUUUAUAUAGGAAAAGUUGGGGGGACCUGACGCUGAAAGAUGGACUCGCGUCCCAUUAGCUAGUUGGUAGGGUAAUGGCCUACCAAGGCGACGAUGGGUAGCCGGCCUGAGAGGGUGGCCGGCCACACUGGGACUGAGACACGGCCCAGACUCCUACGGGAGGCAGCAGUGGGGAAUUUUGCGCAAUGCUCGUAGAGUGACGCAGCGACGCCGCGUGAAUGACGAAGGCCUUCGGGUCGUAAAGUUCUUUCGACAGGGAAGAAAAUGCCUAUAAGUAACUGUGUAUGUAUUGACGGUACCUGUAUAAGCAGCCCCGGCUAACUCCGUGCCAGCAGCCGCGGUAAUACGGAGGGGGCGAGCGUUGUUCGGAGUGACUGGGCGUAAAGAGCACGUAGGCGGUGUUGUAAGUCAUUAGUCAAAGACUAGAGCUCAACUUUAGUAAGGCUAGUGAUACUAUAAUACUAGAGUAUCAGAGAGGAUUGCAGAAUUCCUGGUGUAGCGGUGAAAUGCGUAGAUAUCAGGAGGAAUACCGUUAGCGAAGGCGGCAAUCUGGCUGGAAACUGACGCUGAGGUGCGAAAGCGUGGGUAGCAAACAGGAUUAGAUACCCUGGUAGUCCACGCUGUAAACGAUGGAUGCUAGGUGUUGGGCUUUUAAGUUCAGUGCCGCAGCAAACGCGAUAAGCAU